UACGUAGGGUGCAAGCGUUGUCCGGAAUUAUUGGGCGUAAAGAGCUCGUAGGCGGUUUGUCGCGUCUGCUGUGAAAACCUAAGGCUCAACCUUGGGCUUGCAGUGGGUACGGGCAGACUAGAGUGCGGUAGGGGGUGACUGGAAUUCCUGGUGUAGCGGUGGAAUGCGCAGAUAUCAGGAGGAACACCGAUGGCGAAGGCAGGUCACUGGGCCGCAA
rnacentral:rRNA from 1 species